UGCCUGUUCUGAACAGCCAGCCGGUUUCUCUUGAUGAUCUUCACCGGUUGUCUUGGGUGACCGGCAAGUUUACUUUGAAAAAAUUAGAGUGCUCAAAGCAGGCGCGACGCCUGAAUAAUGGUGCAUGGAAUAAUGGAAUAGGACCUCGGUUCUAUUUUGUUGGUUUUCGGAACACGAGGUAAUGAUUAAGAGGGACAGACGGGGGCAUUCGUAUUGCGACGCUAGAGGUGAAAUUCUUGGACCGUCGCAAGACGAACUACUGCGAAAGCAUUUGCCAAGAAUGUUUCCAUUAAUCAAGAACGAAAGUUAGAGGUUCGAAGGCGAUCAGAUACCGCCCUAGUUCUAACCAUAAACGAUGCCAGCCAGCGAUCCGGCUGUGUUCCUCAAAUGACACGCCGGGCAGCUUCCGGGAAACCAAAGCUUUUGGGUUCCGGGGGAAGUAUGGUUGCAAAGCUGAAACUUAAAGGAAUUGACGGAAGGGCACCACCAGGAAUGGAGCCUGCGGCUUAAUUUGACUCAACACGGGAAAACUUACCCGGCCCGGACACAGGAAGGAUUGACAGAUUAAGAGCUCUUUCUUGAUUCUGUGGGUGGUGGUGCAUGGCCGUUCUUAGUUGGUGGAGCGAUUUGUCUGGUUAAUUCCGAUAACGAACGAGACUCUAGCCUACUAAAUAGACGUUCCGAUCAUCUCCGUCGGACGUUCUUCUUAGAGGGACAAGCGGCGUUUAGCCGCACGAGACAGAGCAAUAACAGGUCUGUGAUGCCCUUAGAUGUCCGGGGCCGCACGCGCGCUACAUUGAAGGAAUCAGCGUGUGCUUUCCCGGUCCGACAGGACUGGGUAACCCGUUGAACCUCCUUCGUGCUGGGGAUAGGGGCUUGUAAUUGUUCCCCUUGAACGAGGAAUUCCCAGUAAGCACGAGUCAUAAGCUCGUGUUGAUUACGUCCCUGCCCUUUGUACACACCGCCCGUCGCUACUACCGAUUGAAUGAUUUAGUGAGGUCUUCGGACUGGCGCUCGGAGCGGCCUUCGGGUCGCGCCGGCUUGCCCGAAAGAUGACCAAACUUGAUCAUUUAAAGGAAGUAAAAUCUUACCAAGUUCCUAU
rnacentral:rRNA from 1 species